UCAAGACGAGACGGUCGACGAAAUCACAUCACAUCAAGCACGCUUAUCAAACGACGGCUCACAUUUUCCAAACGAUAGUCGUACUUGAUAUCUGUCAUUUUAGGUGACAAGAUGUAAUAUUCUUGCCAUUUAUGGUAUAAUGAAUGAUUAAGGUGCCAACUUGCCUCAUUUGGCAAAAAGUCCAUAACAUUUGGACAAUGCAUUCUCUCCAUGAAUCAAGUUUUUGACCAUAUUCUUCCAAACACUUAUUUCCCCUAUAAAUACUACACCAUUUCAAUCUUUACUCUUUUGUUCCACCACAAAAAAAUCUCCAAAACUAAUUUAUCUUAAGUGAUGAUUCUCAAAUGAGUGCUUGAAGAAGAGGAAUCAAUUCUCUACACACUUGCUUUCUUUUUCUCCUUGAGGUUCCUCAAGGUUGAGCAGUGAUGAAAUGGUGGCUGAGUGGAGUUGGUGGUCGUCUCAUCUCUUUUGUAGGAUUUUCGUGGCAUAUGUCUUCACACAUAUGGCCAUGUGUUUACAACUCCUUCCGUUGUGCACUAUUGUAGUAUUUUGUAUUAGAUGGAUCAUAAGGAAAAUGAUUAGCAGCGAGUGACCUGUGAUAAAUACUCUUUUGAUCUUCAUGAUCUUUCGUUGCCUUGUGAACCUCCUUUAUCUUAUUAAAAAGUAUUUGAGUGUCUUA